rnacentral:rRNA from 1 species
UACGGAGGGUGCGAGCGUUGUCCGGAAUCACUGGGCGUAAAGGGCGCGUAGGCGGCGCGGGGAGUCAACGGUGAAAGCUCGGCGCUCAACGCCGAGUCGGCCGUCGAUACUCCCCGUGCUCGAGCACUGUAGAGGCAGGUGGAAUUCCGGGUGUAGCGGUGGAAUGCGUAGAGAUCCGGAAGAACACCGGUGGCGAAGGCGGUUCCUGGACAGUUACUGACGCUCAGGCACGAAAGCAUGGGGAGCAAAAGGG